rnacentral:misc_RNA from 1 species
UGGCAGACGAUGAGCGACUCUCACCAACCGAUUUGUACGCGACGUAAAUAGAUCCUCGAUGUUCAUGCUAAUAUCUCACAAAAUACUAAAUAUUUUAACAAAUUUUAAAAGGUUAUACCUUAGUUUAAAGUAUUCUAAGAGAAUUGUAGCGAUUAGUAUGAGAAUAGUUGUGUUUUAGCGAUCUCGGUUUUUGAUGCUACGGCGUAUGAAUAUUACAUUGGCGUCAACCUGGCCUCAGCUGUUUCCCGCCAAACGCCGCUACCAGAAAACUGCUGUGAGGCGUAGCGUAUGUUGGUUGUCCCGCGCUGCAACCUACUAUCAGUGAAUAAUUGUGAUUAACAAAUUUACAUUUAAUUGUCAGUGAUUGAAAACUCGUUAGUUAGUGCGAAAUAUGUCUGUUUACGUCAUGAAAGAAGAUAUAGUGUACGACGAAGGCAAUAGUGAUCAGAAGGACGUUUUGGGAAAUAUAUCCAGCAGGAUAAACAAGGGCGGGGAGCCGCCAACGGCCACGAUGGAGCAGGAGAAGCGAAUAAGGCGGGAAAUCGCCAACAGUAACGAAAGGAGACGUAUGCAGAGCAUCAAUAACGGGUUUCAGUCUCUGAGGAACCUUUUGCCACAUCAUGAGGGAGAAAAAUUGAGCAAGGCGGCAAUCCUCCAACAAACGGCUGAAUAUAUCUACUCAUUGGAACAGGAGAAGACCAGACUUUUGUCACAAAACUGUCAGCUGAAACGGCUAGUGAACCAACACGAAGGCGGCGAACUGCCACCCAAGAAGAGAAAGACUGAAUUGAUAAUUCCCACCAUUACGGCAGAAUCAUCAGACGAGGGCAUAGGUUCAAUGUCACCGGAACUCAUCGUAGUAAACCAACAACCUGAUAACACCACGGAGCUAAAGCAACAAUUAGAGCAGGAACGCAGCCUGCGGUUGCUAUUAGAAGACCAAGUGCGGCAGCUGGAAGAACAGCUCUUUCAAUCGCAGCGUCAACCGCAACCGCAAUUCUUGGAAUUGGAGGACACCGAUGCUGUUGGUAUGCAACUGAUAGCCGCGGAGAGUUUACCCAUCGGUCACACCCAGACGGUGGUAUGUAGUGCGUCGCCCGCCAAUUCCAGAAGUUCCAGUCCUAUUCCCGUGAUGCCAGAACAACAGAGGUUACCGUCGGUGUUGGAAGCGGCGAUUAAAGCUGAACCUAAGGUCGAAGUCGAAAGACUGCCCUCGCCGAACACUUCAACGCAUGAAGACAACAGCCGAGUGUACAACAUUUCAAACACUUCCAGGCAGAACCUCGAGACAAUCGUCGAGGCCAUCAGACACCUCGAAGGCAGUCAUAUGUUCGACGACGAACAAGAUGUCCCGCUUGCACUUACCACCAGAUCUGCGGAUAUCAAGCCGGACGUUCAUGCGGCCUACCUCGAGUUCAAUGCCACGACAGUUCAGCAAUACCAACAAUCCAGGCCGGGAGUGAUUGUCGUGAAACAAGCGUCGUGAUCGAAAAUCAUUCACUUCGCCAGUCUGCCAUCUAGCGGACAGGCGAGGAGACAGGACUAAAAAGUGACGGCUCCGGGCUCUUAGGUUACGUAGGGCCCGCCAUCUCGAUUAUGUUAAUCCAAAUAUAGCAAAAAAAAAUGUUAACGACAACGUUGAGCGCCAUUUUUUAUUUAAAAAUAUAUAAAAAUGGGCUGGCCUUUCAUGUGAAUGUUCUUUUUCUCUCUAAUUUAUUUUGUUCGUCCCUGUUAGAUUUAAGAGCCGGUGAAAUUUUCGUUACGUCAUUAUGCAACUGUUAAUUUAUUUCUAAUUUUUACUUUUUUUUUUAUUUUUAAGAUCGUUUUUGUAAACACUAGAUCUCGGAAGAUAAUUGAGGCCCUCAGAGCAACACUGGCCUAAGCCACAAAUUGAGCGUUUUUAGAUUAAUAUAUCAAUAAAAGCAGCAACAUUAAAUCUUCCAAUAUUUGGCUAGAUGGCGCUAUGAAAUUUGUAGCGCCUUCCCAUAAACAUAAUGGGAAUAAAAAUGCAAAGAUUGCAUUUAUCUCAAAACUUCGUUUUUGGGCUUAGGCCACUGUUGCUCUGACAGCCGCAAUUGUAAGAGGUACAAAUAAAAUUAUUUUAACAGAAACAAAAAUAGAUUUGAAAAAUCUAAUGUUUUUAUUGAUGUAAUUGUUCUAAUUCAGAUUUUCCGAGGUUUGAUGUACUCCUCAGUAGAAAAAUGUUAGAAUGAAGUAACUAAAACGUUCACUAGCUCAUAUGCUAUUGUUAACCCCAUCCAAAUCUGAAAUUUCGUAAUUUUUGGGCUACAUAAUUUAUAAUAAAAAAAUUAUUGGCUAUCAGUUCAGGCGGGAUCUCUUUUGAAGUGGUCAAUUUCCAUAGGAGUAUUUUUUUUCCUGGAGUUUACAAUGCACCUUGUAUCGAAUCGAUAAUCACGACAUGCGCCGGUCGCAAACAUUGUGCUUAAUUGUUUAUUUAACAAAAUCUGAAAAUAAUCUACAUUUUGAAUCGACAUACAUGAAUAGAGUCGUCUGAAUUUUGAUUAUUAACGGCAUAAACUGAUAUAAGUAAAGGUAAAGUUUUCAAUCCUAAUAGCAACAUUAAUGAUAUUGAAAAAUAUUAAAAAUAUUACUAAAAGAUUUUUAAAUUGAAAACUUAUUGGUCCAUUUCCCUGGUGACACCUCCAAGGCUUCUACAAUUUGCAAGCCAGAUGGAUGCUGUAGUGAAGACAAAGGGAAGGAAUUCUAAACGUUGCAAUUCACAACCCCCGUCUGUAGCUUGGUAAAGUUCCAACGGAAAAUGGACCUAGUUACUCUGUAGGAGUAAUACUAAUAUAAAAUAAAAAUGUAUACCAUUUAUAUUCAGUUGCAAUGCGAAGGCAAAACAAUCCUAUUUUUCACUUAGAAUAGGGAGCGCAUUCCAGCACUCUGAAUUGACGAUUUUCGACUCUUAUUGGAGUCAUCAUCGGAGAGGCGUAGGCCUGCUGCUCUCUACUAGAAUUGACCAACCAUGGAAGUUUAUACCCACACUGGGGAUAAGCAGCAGCCCUACGCCUCUCCGUAAAAUGUAAUUUCCAUAAACUUUAAUACAAUUUACACCGUUAUUAAUCGAAAUUCAGAGUUGGCGCAAUGAUAUGAAAUGAUUUUAAUUUUGAGACGAAUAUAUUUAUGUAAAUUUUAUCAUAUUUGCAAAAUAGUUAUGUAAAAACUAUUUAUACAAAUUAUAAAACGAUUAUAACCUACAUGUUUCAGUUGUGUUAAAAAGUUUUUCUACACGGAAUAUGAAGGCUAUAAGUUGUGUUUAAGGGGUUGAAAACAUUUAAAGAAAAAACUCCCAUUUUUUGCACUUUUUCCCCAUGACUGCUAUAUUUUAAAUAAUAAACAUUAAAUUUUCAAGUUCUAGCUAGCCAAAUAAUAUGUAAAAUUGAAAAAUGCAACUUUUUCCUUCUCAAUUUUUUUAGGAGCAUAUCUCUAGAGUUUUAGACGAAUAUAUGGGCGCACAAAGCAAAAGUUUUCAAUUUUUUCAGAUUUGUUACAUAGAAAAUUAAGCUCAAGGUUUGGGACUGGCGCCAAUCGUGAUUAUUGAUACAGGGUAGAUCCUGAAGCUGAAGUGAUUCCAUAGCAAAAAACUAGACUCGUAUGGAAAAUGUCCAUUAUCGUCUGAUUUUAAAUCCCGCCUGGACUAUAUGAAAGAUGGAAGGAAGUGUUUUAGCUAAAAAAUACAUGUUUUGGCCGUCUGAAAGUUGUAUUACCACGUAAACAAUUUUCUUUUGUUGGUAGAAAGUACCGGUCUCGAAAUAAAAUAUAAUUUGGCACUAAAUAGUUGAUAAGUGUUCGGAUGUGACAAAAACCUAUUAGUAUUUAAUAUUUUUUACCAACAACGGCAAAUUAUUGUUUCGUGUGAUUCAUUUCUUACCAAAGAAAAAGUAAAGUAACCGAUCAUUCGAAUAAAAUUGAUUUUUGGGGGUUGUUGGGUUGUACAGUUAAAUUGCUUUAUUUUUUCCCAAAAGAUGUAAAAUUUUACGUAAAUAGCUAUUGGCAUUUCGAUUCUAUCUUGAUGUUUGUUUGUUAAAAAUAGUACCAUCACACACAAAUAAUGAUUGAUGCUUUUUUUAAUCCUUUAUUAUAAAAUUUUGUAUAUUUUUUACCACGUUAAAUACGAUUAAUAUGAGUAUGUAGUGAAUAGUAACUAAAUAAGUCCGAUAGUUUGUUUUUAAACCAAGAGGAGUAAACUAAAAAGACAGAUUCACACCCAAGAAAGUCACUAGAAAUAUCACCAAAUACAUCUUUUUUUGGUUGAUCAUAUCGGCCUUCGACGGUGAUCCAUAGAUAUUAUAUUAUACUAAUACGUCUGUUUUUUAUAUAAACAAUUGUUUUUUAUAUAAAAGUAGACUAAAAACCUAAACAUUAAAGGAAGAACGCAGAAAACACAAAAAAUCGCCGAUAUAACUUAAUUAACCUAUGAAAUGGCAGUAGUGUCAACAUUUCAUAAAUGUCAUUAGCGUAAAAAUUUCAUAACGGUGGAGUAAACUUGUCUGAGGUUUGACUAAUUACAAACAAGUAUUACGGCGCGGUAAAUUUGAAUUACCCCUCUUGGUUUAAAGACAGACCAUAGUUAAAUCCGAGAAAUGUAGACCAAAUGAAAAUAUCCAUAUUGUAGAUUUUUACAAAAUUAAAUUAAAAAUUUGAAUAACAAUAUUGUUUAUAGUUCUAAAAAGAUUCAGUUAUUAAAAAGUAUUAAAAGUUAAAAUAAUAUUUUAUUUUCUAAAAAAAAAUAUGGCGCAUCAGUAGGAUUUCGAGAGUUGUCUUCUUGUUUUUUAGAAUUUUUGUGGAGUAGGUUCUUCAAGUCCACCGUUUUUUCAUUGAAAAAAUGGUGUGUUUGAAGAACAUCGGCAGCACAAAUAUCUACAACGUCCUUAGUUCUCUUAAAUUAUUUUGGUAACAGAGUUCCUGUUACAUACACAAUGCAUCCUUGUCACCCAGAACAUUUUUCUUUCUUCUGAACUAUUUCCAACCAGUGUAUACCUUAUGUGCCCUUAUCUUAUCCCUUGACGUACUGCUCCCCCAUAGGCUGAUCAGACAUUAGCGUAUUCCAGACUAAGUCUCAGAUUUAUUAGAAUUUCAAACUACUGCGUCAGUCUGUUUAUUUUUCUGUUCAUCGGGCUAGGGUUUGAACUCGCAUACCUCGCAGCGAAGCGAAGUGAGUCAGCCGCCUGUCCCGCUUGGCUAUCUGAUAAUAUUAAGUUAUAAUAGAUAAAUACUCUAAUAGUCUAAUUCAAAAAUGAAAUGAUUAUUUCUAAAAAAUCAAUCAUUAUUUGUUACACGACCGUACUAAUUGAUAUUUUUGAGAUAUUGUAAAUUUAGCUAUACAUAUAAGAAUCUUUAUUGAGCUUUCGUAUUAUCUUUAAACCAUUAUAAAAUUAUAUGGAUGGGGUUAAAACAUUUCAGUGUUAUGCUCGGUCUUCAGAUUGUUUCAUCUUUUCCUUACCGGUUUAUACAUAACAUUGUACAUAUUUCUUAUGGAUCGUUUGUAUAUGUUUUCGCUAGAUACAUUGCCGUACUGAAUUGCCAAAUUUUUAGACAUUAUACUUUUACUUUUGUAUCACUUUAAGAGUUACUAAAUCUUAAGUGUUAUAUAAUAAUUUAUUGAAAAAAUCUGUGCAUGUGGGAAUUGAGUCAAAAUAAAUAAACCUUGCGUGAAAUUUGACAAAAAUAUUGGAAUGGUAUCAGAUUGUUAAAUAUUUUAAAUACUAAUUGAUACUAACCAAAAUUGUUUUAAAAAGUAAUAAUUAUAGUUGCUUUUCAUAUACACUCACUGGCAAACCUAACCGCCCACUUUAUAUUCUUUAAAUUUGCAGAAAUUGUCAAUCUUGGACUAAAUUUUAUGAAAUAUACGGUGAAAACUACCGUUGAGGAAGAAAAAACAAUAUAAUUAUUGAAAAAAAGUCAAAAAUAAAAAUGUAUAACAUUUUUAUUCAGUUGCAAUGCGAAGGCAAAAACUGUCUUAUUUUUCACUUAGAACAGGGAGCGCAAACCAGCACUCUGACUCGACGAUUUUCGACUCUUUUUGGAGUCAUCAUCGGAGAGGCGUAGGCUUACUGCUCUCUGCUCGAAGUGACAAAACCACGAAAGCUUAUCCCCGAGUAGGUGACUUGCGUCAUCUGGCCACUGAAAGGCAAAGUUUUCAACCUAAUAUAAACAUUAAUAAUAUUGAAAAAUAUUAAAAAUGUUACAAAAAGAUUUUUAAUUGAAAACUUAUUGGUCCAUUUCCCUGGUAACACCUCCAUGGCUUCUAAAAAUCGCAAGCCAGAUGGAUGCUGCAGUGAAGACAAUAGGGAAUUCUAAAAAGUUGUUAUUCACAACCCCGUCUACAGCUUGGUAAAGUUCCAACGGAACUACGCCUCUCCGAUGAUGACUCCAAAAAGAUUCAAAAAUCGUCGACUCAGAGUGCUGGUUUGCGCUCCCUGUUCUAAGUGAAAAAUAAGACAGUUUUUGCCUUCGCAUUGCAACUGAAUAAAAAUGGUAUACAUUUUUAUUGUAUUAUUAUUACUCCUAUAGAGUAACUAGGUCCAUUUUCCGUUGCAACUUUACCAAGCUAUAGACGGGGUUGUAAAUUGCAACUUUUAGAAUUUCCUCUUGUCUUCACUGCAGCAUCCAUCUGGCUUGCAAUUUUUAGAAGCUAUAGAGGUGUUACCAGGGAAACGGAACAAUUUUUAAUUUAAAAAUCUUUUAGUAAUAUUUUUAAUAUUUUUCAAUAUUAUUAAUGUUUAUAUUAGGUUAAAAAAUUUGCCUUUCCGAAAAAAGUCGUUUACCAAGGGAUAUUUAGCAAAAAUUCAAUGUUUAAAAAUCUUCGAAGAAAAUUCAAACAAACAUAAUUUUGAAAAUCAUAGUCCAAUUAAAAAAAUUAUGAGUAUUAAUAAAGGGUAUUGCCACCUCUGGCCCUUAACCCCUUCGGACCGCCAUUCGGCAAGUCGGCUCCUAUAUACGGAUUCGACCGUUUACCGAGCGGCUUCGCGCGCAUCGCACAGUAUCACACUACAACUAAUGUAAAGUUAAUGUAAUAACACUAAUUUUAGAAAUAAAACUAUUUUUAUUAAAUUUAUUAUUCUACAUAGUAUGUGAGUUGAAUUAAAUUUUAUCCAUAAAAUACCAUUUUAAACAAAAAUUAGUAAAAAAGAUAAACAAGAUAAUUCGGAUGGAAUUCCCCAGAUUAUUUUGUGCUUGAUAUCGUCGCAGUCUCCUAUCUGGGAAAUUCCAUCCGAAUUAUCUUGCAAGGGAUAGUAAGGUAAGUUGUAAACAGCAGCACAGUACCUUCACCUCCCACACAAUCCCAUCAGACAAACAUCCAAACAAUCUUAUCACCAAUCAAAUUAACUAAAUCUAAUCUCCUUCUGGACAUCACCCACUUUUGGACGUGGUUUCCCCACUUUUAAAUUUGAAUAAGGUAAUUCGGACGGAACAAAAAUACCUGAAAUAUGAUGAAGAUGGUGUCACCGACUUAUGGCGAACGAAAACUCAUGAUGCUCCCAUGUGCAUCACCGUACUGACCGGACAGUCAAGCAUGAUGCACACGGGUGCAUCACCGUACCGAAGGGGUUAAGGACUUCUUGGAGCCUGUUCGCCAAUCUAUUUACAAUAUCCUGGACAUCCGAUUGGGAGAUAUUGUGCCACUUCUCCUCCACAGCCGUCUUGAGCUUUCCGAAUGAUGUAGGGGCUGGUACUCUUGCACUUAACCGUUUUUUGAGAUUGUCCCAAAUUCCCAAAUGUGUUCAAUUGGGUAAGGGUACACACAUAGUGCAAGCGGUUUCCGCUUACGGACAAACCGCGCGAAUCUGAGCGGUUAUCGCGCGCGUGAAUGGUAACACAGUGAAUACGGGUAAAAGCGAGAAAAAUCGUUCAAAUCUGUCAGUUGCGUCUACAACUUCCGGCAAAAUAUCGUCUUCUGAUGACGAUAUUAUUGUUUUUGAUUCUAUUUUGACUAAAUUGAAAAGAAAACAAGUUGUAAAGUAAAAAAAAGUUGUAAAUUGUAAAGAAAAAAAAAACAAGUAAAAAUAAAAAAAACAAGUAAAAGUAAAAAUAAGUAAAAAAAAAGUUGUAAAUUGAAAAGAAAACAAGAUUAUUAUGUUCUUAAUCGCGAAAGAAUAAUUUAUGGAGAAUAUCAUCAUAUAUUUCAAAACUUAAAAUAAGAUAAUGAAAGAAAGUGAAAUAUCGUUCUCCCUUGUGUCCCAAAUCCCUGGUCUUUCAAAAACUGCAGUAAUCAAUGCCUCCUUAUUCAUUUUACAAACGCUAAACCCGCGCUACAAAAAGCGGAAAUAAACUAAAUUUAACUAAGUACGCGUACAUGUAAAAACGUGCAUUCAUUUUGAAAACGUAUAAAAGCGGGUCAGCGCGGUUUGACCGUAAGCGGAAACCUCUUCAACUGUGUUCGUUUACUUACGAUCGGCACUGCGUGCCGGUCAUGGUAAUACUUGAAUCCCAACCUCAUCACUUGUCACAGUUGAUUCUUGUGGUAUGGCAAUGUGCAUUGUCAUGCAUUAUAAAGUUAUAUCUAAAGUGUCACCGAUGAACGGUGCGAACGGCAUGACAUGUUCUUGGAGAACUUCUUCUACGUAUCUUCUUCAAGCAUUCACACUGUCACUAUCGAACACAGCAAGAUCGGUACGAGCUUCGUUAGAGAUACCUUCCCAAAUCAUUAUUGACCCUACUUUUCGGUCAUAGUGCAUGAAGCAAACCUUUCAUUUUAACGCCUGUAGACACGAGGACGUCCAUCUGGACCUCUUAGGGCUAUUCUGCUCUCGUCUGAGAACACUAUGUUCUUAGUAUAGCUCUACGGUGUUGGGGGAGCAGCUGUGUGGCGCGCUCUGAAGGGAAAACCCUCAAAUUUCUUUCUGCUAGUCUUCUUCUAAUUGUACGUUCACUCGCACUAUCAUUUCUCACCUCAAAAAGACGCGUACGAGCUUCAGGAGCGGUGCAAAAGCGAUUUCUCAGCACGUUGCUGACAAUGAAGCGGCUAUCUCGAAUUUUAGUCCAUAGAUGUCGGCCUUGAUCUGGCCUGCGGGUGUAUGAAUCUGUCUCCCGAAAUUUUCUGAUAGCAUCCCGUACCGUAGUUCAGCCCCUAUCGGAGAACUCAAAGACAGCUGCUGUACAGGAGUGGCAUAAUAUUUCCGAAUCGGAUAUCUAGGAUAUCAUGAUUGCCAAGAACCGGCCCCAAGAAGUUUUAAGGGCCAGAGGCCGUAACACGCAUUAUUAAUACUCGUAAUUCUUUUUAAUUAGACUAUGAUUAUUUUCAAAAUCAUGUUUGUAUGAAUUUACAAACACUGGAUUUUUGCUAAGCAUCCCUUGAUAAACGACAUUUUUUUUUCAAAAAUUUUACUGUUUUCUCUUCCUCAAAGGUAGGUAGCUUACUAGUUUUCACCGUAUCUUUCAUGAAAUGUGGUCCAAGAUUGACAAAUUCUGCAAAUUUACAGAAACCCAAGGAGGGCGGUUAAUGUUGCCGUGAGUGUAUUGUAUGUGGCUAGGAGCCAGCAACAUUUGCAACUGUUCAUACAUUUCUACAAUAUUACUUGAAUUGGUCAAGGAAAAGAUGGAAGUAAAUAUUAUAUAGUAUAUAUACAUACAUGACGAUUUUUUAAAUAUUUUUUGUUACUUAAAAGAAGUAAAGUUUCUUUUUUAUUUGAAACGCCAAAAAUAUAUAUUUAUCAUUAUAUUAGAAAAUAUAGUGAAAACGUUUUGUUCCUUUUUUGUACAUAUUUAUAAUUUUAGAUUUGGCCGCGUAGUCGCGCCACUUAGCAUAGUUUCUGUGUUCAGUCAGUGCACGAUCUGAAUGCAUGGGAAAAGUUUUUCUUUUUUAGUUGUUUUUCAUUCUGCAUUUGUUUUCUAGAUGGAUUUUAGUCCAAAUAAUCAUAUGCAUUGUUAGAAAUUAUAAAUACACAUGACAUACAAAUUCUAUGUGUUUUAAUGUAACAUAUUUGAAGUUAAAUUCAUCUGGCACUUAUAGUACAUAUUCAAUUAAUGAAUCUUCUUGUUAUAUCCUAUCAAACUGCGCCAUUUUUGAGAAAUUCUGUAAUUCGACAUGAGGUGUUGGUGUUUGUUAGCAAAAUAAUCUGAUUUUUCCUAUUUAAAAGACUAUUAGACUAUUAUUGAUGGUACAACCUGCUAUAUGCGAAGAAAAGUCUAAAAUCUGACUGCACAGAGUAAUGAAAUUACACCAAUACAGUAAUGUAUAAAGCUCCAAUGUUCGUCAGCAUCAUGCAGCCUCUUCCGUCCACCGCUGGACAUAAGUCCCAUUUUUCGCCACCCUUCACUCUGUUUAAUGUCGUAUUAGUCUCUCUACGUAUUUUAGUCUCGCUACGUGACCUGCCCAAUUCGACGACAUCAGUGAUACCUGUUUUUUUCCUCGGGUCUUGAUUUCUUAUUUUGUCUUUUUUUUUGUUACCCGAGAAUCGAUCUUUCCAGGCGCCUUUGUGCCACUCGCAUUUUUAGUGCUGUUGUUUUUGUGAGCGUGAGAGUUUCUGCUCCGUAUAAUAUCAUUAAUAGGAAAAACGCAUCGGUAAAAUGUUUUCCGUUUAAUAGCUAUCGGGAUGUUGCCCUUAAAGAUGUCUCUUAGUGAACCACACGCCACCCAAGCAAGUGUUAUUCGUCAUUGAAUGAGGCGAGAUAUAUGUACUUUUCUGUCAAUAAAUUUUGGAUGGUUAGGUGUUCGCUGGAAAUUAAAUUUGUCUAAAAGUUUAUAUAUGUUAAUAUAAAUUCUUAACGACAAAUGAUGCUUAAAAACAAUAAUUAAGUACAUCAAGUAGGUUGUUCUUGUCAUUCGAUGAAGAAAGGACGAGUUUAUGAUUUGCAAUACAUAUAAUUUUUAAUUUAAGAUUCUUGAAGUAAUGAUUUAGUGUAUAUCCCACGCACAAAUUUUUUGAGAUUGAGAACAGCCAAAUGUCAGAGGGUGCUAAAGCUGGUGAAUAGGUUGAAAGUUGCAACAAUUUCUAUUGUAAUUAGUAAUUUUUGUCACUGGUUUCAGAUCACUAACAUUUACUUGGCCCAUUUCCGGGCUCUAACUCACUUAAGUGUUGAAAUAUUUCAAGUUUUCAAGUGAAAUGUUUCAAGUGUGUUUUUUCAAUUGUGAGUGAAUACGGCACCCAUUGUUGCUUUUUGAGACCCACAACUUCAGCCAAAAUAUUUCGUAUACUGCUUAAUGAAAUUUUACUAAAUUUGCUUCUUUACUGGGUUAUUCGACGAUAUUUCAGAACAUUAUCCUAUAUUUGAUGCACUUUUUGUACGUCAUUCAAACAAAUCGUCUUUAAGACGAUUUUAUGAAGAAGUAUAAAUUGAGCAACCCAUUUUUCUAGUGGGAGAAUUGAAGGUGAGGAGUCCUUAUAUACUUUUAAGAAUCGUUUUGGUGCUACAGCUUCCACUAGAUUAAAUUUUUCCACUAAGAAAUACUAUGCCACGCCAGCUUCAAUAAAUUAGUAAAUAUAGGAAUGAGCUGACAGAUUUACAUGAAUAAAAAAAAAGAAAUACCCGUUUAUUGUACUAAUAUUAUGCAAAUGUCAAACAGUAUUUACAGUCUUCUUUCUUCUUCUUGUUAACGUUCCGUUUCUGCACAGCUUAAUGUAUGGGACCGCACUUCUUUGGGUACCUGAUCCUCUAUGCUGCUGGGCUCCUGGACAUCUGUUUCUGUUGGUACUAUUUUGCUACGUACUUUCCCUUCCACAUAAAAUAUACGUUCCGACAAAAAUUAUUGAACAAGCUUUGAGGCGAUUCGGGACAUAACCGGUAAUCACAUCCUAACUCAGACCAGAAAAACAUGUUUGCCUCUCAAUUAAUUCGAUAAGUAUAGUGUAUUACUUGUCAUAUGAUUCCAUUUUUAAAUAAUUUUACAAAUUUGUGUACCAACUUUAGACGGGUAAUAUUUUAUGAAAAUUAGUCACAACUUUAAUAAAUGGUUAAAAUCCUUAAAUCUAUGUCAUUAUUUUGAUUUUAUAUACGGAGUAAAUAUAAAUAACUUUAGUUUUCCUUAAAUAUGCAUAUGUUUCUCGAAAAUCCAUCUAGAAACACACAAACAAUAUUUAUCUACAUCUUGUACAUAACUUAAAAUUUGGUAUACGUAUGAUGAAGUUUGAAAAUAAUUAUAAUAUUGUUUUUCGUUAUGCCAUAGGUACGUAGUUUAAACAGGAAAAGUCAGGUGUGGUGGUCUCAUAAUAUACUUAUUGAAUUAUUAAUUGUCGAACUACUAGUUUUAAAGGUUACUUCAGACCGAUUCUGUUGUGUGCUUUAUAUAAUUUAAUCAUGUAUAGUUUCUUUACUACAAACAUACGAUUACGUCAUUCAAGAUUUCUGACGUCAGAGCGGUGCUAAAACGUUAUAGUAGGACUUUUCGUCAUGGCCAUGUUCCUCGUACAGUGAGAAGUUAGGCAUCAUUCAUUUUUCGUUGUUCUUCUUUACUGUACAAAUAAUAUCUAUAAUUCUUAUUAAAGUAAUAUAUAACUAAUAGAGAUGAAAAUCAUGUUCUGUUUUGGCAAUGCUCUGAAGUCAGAAAUAUUCAAUGAAGUAAGCUUAUUUUUGUAGUAAAAAAACUAUGCGUAUGGUUAGCGUAGUGUCUUAAAUAUAUUUGUUAUAAAAUAUUCAGUUCGUGGAAGUUAGAUAUAUGUUUUGAAUUAAAAACUUUCAGUAAUAACCAAUGCAGGUCAGACAUGUUUUUGGGACCAUCAUACUCUCGACUAAAUGUAAUUUUUUAUGACCACAACACACAUACAGACUCAAAAUUUAUAUGCUGCAUGAAAAUUUAUGUUAUUGUUUUGUUUUGUAAAGGCUGUCAGCAUUUUCUGCAAUUUUUAUUUGUAUUUUUUUUUUCUCAAUAAAAUAAUUCAUAUAAUCAUGCCUGACAAGUA